GACAUUUCAUUUGUUCAUCAUGGAAGGUUUGUGUUCAUCGCUUGUGUUUCAUUUUCUUUCUCUUCAGUUUUAACAACUCCUGCACCUACCACAAGCCUGAUGGAGGUCUGCAGAACUUCAACUCUUAGCCUUCAAGAUGAAGAUAUGGAGAAAAUGAAUGCACUGUCUAUCACUGUGCUGGGCUUGAGGGUGUUGCUAACGAAAAACAUUGCCUUGAAUAUGCUCCUGGUCACUAGAUACCUUUAUUUCUGAGGUUGGAUGAAGGGAACAAGCAAUGAUUUGAAGAAGAUAGCAAAUAAUUCAUUGGCUUUUUUUCUUUAUUAGAGCUGGUCAAAAAAUGAAAAUCAAAUGAAACUUUCCAAGUUGACAUUUUUGGAGGGUUCAAAAUGGAGCCAACUUUUGUGUUUUCCAAAAUCUCCACUGAAUUUUUAUAUAACAAAAAAUUAAAUUUUUAAUUGAAAAUAUUGUUGAAAUAAUUAUCAAAAUUUUCAGUCUACUGAAA